AUGUUAAUGCACGAAAAAGGACUGCUUGGGCGUGGCGGGAGGGGCACACUUCAGCUCUGAGGGCUCCUCAUAGGAAUGGGUAUAUAUUUUUUCGGUUUCGGAAUCACCUCUGCGCCGACCUCCGCGUAGGUCGCGCGGCCUAGGCCUCGGCGAGCCGCUCGCCGCCUCUCUCCGCAGCCCGCCCCUGGGGUCACUCGCUCACGGGCGCGGGGCCCUCAUCGGGGCGAGAGCCCCCACACACACCUCCCCCGCGGGCCCGGAGGUGGGGGACCCGGGGGACACGGACACUGGUGGGUGGUUGGGUGUAAUUAGCGCGGGUCGCGCGCGAUGGAGCAAGCGAGGGGGGAGGGGAGAAGAGGAGAGCGAGCGAGGGGGGUUAAAAAAAAAAAAAAAGAUUUUAGGGAGAGAGGAAACGGGCCGCGGAGACGGGCCGACUGUCUGUCUGUCUGUCUGUCUGCCCGCCCUAGGCGCCCCGGCUGCUCGGCCCCCGCCGCAGUCAGAAAUUCACACAAAAUGGCGGCUCGGCCCAGAGGAGCCGAGAGGCUGAGGCGGGAGGAAGGGCGAGGUGGGAGGGGGAACGGGGAGGCGGAGGCCGUGUCACGUGGAGGAGAGGGGCAGAGGCCCUCUCCCGAAGGGCGGCGGAAAGAGCCGAAGGGAGAGAGUGUGGCCGAGGCAAGGCGGAAAAAGCCGAAAGCCGCUGAGCGGGAGACGCGGGGAGGCGGAAAGAGCCGAAGGAUGCGAUGGGGGUGUGGCUAAAGGAUGGAUGGAAAGCCACGGGAGCCGGAGAUAGCCGAAGCGGACCAGGACCGGGUGGUUGGUUGGGGGGGUGGUGUGGGGAGAAAAACAAGGAACCGAGACGAUCCGGAAGGAGCCGAAGGCGGCGUCCGAGUGCCAAGCUCUGUGAUGGACCCUGGGAACAGUUUCUACCUUCCUGGAGCUUAAAUACCGAUAAUGCCCCGGGGAGGGGAAAAAAAAAAAAAACC